rnacentral:rRNA from 1 species
AUUGACCGCUAGCGGGAUGCUUUACACAUGCAAGUCGAACGAGUGGCGGACGGGUGAGUAAUAUCUCGGAACGUGCCCAGUAGCGGGGGAUAACUACUCGAAAGAGUGGCUAAUCCCGCAUACUAUUGGAUCGGCCAAUAUUGGAUUAGCUAGUUGGUGGGGUAAAGGCUCACCAAGGCACAGAUCCGUAGCUGGUUUUAGAGGAAGACCAGGCACACUGGGACUGAGAAACGGCCCAGACUCCUACGGGAGGCAGCAGUGGGGAAGUUUGGACAAUGGGGGAAACCCUGAUCCAGCCAUCCCGCGUGUAUGAGAAGGCCUUCGGGUUGUAAAGUACUUUUGGCAGAGAAGCGGUAUCUGCAGAAUAAGCACCGGCUAACUACGUGCCAGCAGCCGCGGUAAUAC